CUCAGUAACGGCGAGUGAAGCGGCAACAGCUCAAAUUUGAAAUCUGACCCCUUUGGGGCCCGAGUUGUAAUUUGUAGAGGGUGUUUCGGGCGCGGCGCCGGUCUAAGUUCCUUGGAACAGGACGUCAUAGAGGGUGAGAAUCCCGUAUGUGACUGGCGACCAAGCCCAUGUGAAGCCCCUUCGACGAGUCGAGUUGUUUGGGAAUGCAGCUCAAAAUGGGUGGUAAAUUUCAUCUAAAGCUAAAUAUUGGCCAGAGACCGAUAGCGGACAAGUAGAGUGAUCGAAAGAUGAAAAGCACUUUGGAAAGAGAGUCAAACAGUACGUGAAAUUGUUGAAAGGGAAGCGCUUGCAAUCAGACCGGUCCGGGGGCGAUCAGCCGCUGCUCGUCAGCGGUGCACUCGCCCUCGAUCCGGCCAGCAUCGGUUUGGGCGGCGGGAAAAAAGGCCCGGGAAUGUAGCUUCUUUCGGGGAGUCUUAUAGCCCGGGUCGUCAUGCCGCCCGCCCGGACCGAGGACCGCGCUUCGGCUAGGAUGCUGGCGUAAUGGUUGCAAGCGACCCGUCUUGAAACACGGACCAAGGAGUCUAACAUCUAUGCGAGUGUUUGGGUGUCAAACCCAGGCGCGGAAUGAAAGUGAACGGAGGUGGGAACCCUCGGGCGCGCACCAUCGACCGAUCCAGAUGUCUUCGGAUGGAUUUGAGUACGAGCAUAGCUGUUGGGACCCGAAAGAUGGUGAACUAUGCCCGGAUAGGGUGAAGCCAGAGGAAACUCUGGUGGAGGCUCGCAGCGGUUCUGACGUGCAAAUCGAUCGUCAAAUCUAGGCAUAGGGGCGAAAGACCAAUCGAACCAUCUAGUAGCUGGUUCCUGUCGAAGUUUCCCUCAGGAUAGCAGUAACGUUUUCAGUUUUAUGAGGUAAAGCGAAUGAUUAGAGGCCUUGGGGCUGAAACAGCCUUAACCUAUUCUCAAACUUUAAAUAUGUAAGAAGUCCUUGUUACUUAGUUGAACGUGGACAUUUGAAUGCACCGUUACUAGUGGGCCAUUUUUGGUAAGCAGAACUGGCGAUGCGGGAUGAACCGAACGCGAGGUUAAGGUGCCGGAAUGCACGCUCAUCAGACACCACAAAAAGUGUCAAUUCAUCCAGACAGCCGGACGGUGGCCAUGGAAGUCGGAAUCCGCUAAGGAGUGUGUAACAACUCACCGGCCGAAUGAAUUGGCCUUGAAAAUGGAUGGCGCUCAAGCGUGCUACCCAUACCUCGCCGCCAGGGUAGAAACGAUGCCCUGGCGAGUAGGCAGGCGUGGAGGUCCG
rnacentral:rRNA from 1 species